rnacentral:rRNA from 1 species
AAAAAAAAACAUCGGAAUCUACUUUUUCGUGGGUGAUAACGUAGGGAAACUUACGCUAAUACCGCAUACGACCUACGGGUGAAAGCAGGGGAUCUUCGGACCUUGCACGAUUGCAUGCGCCGAUGUCGGAUUAGCUCUUUGGCGGGGUAAAGGCCCACCAAGGCGACGAUCCGUAGCUGGUCUGAGAGGGUGAUGAGCCACAUGAGAAGUGAGACAAGGGCGAGAGUCCGACGGGAGGCAGCAGUGGGGAAUAUUGGACAAUGUGAGAAAGCAUGAUCCAGCCAUACCGCGUGGGUGAAGAUUGUUUUUGGAUGGUACAGCC